rnacentral:snRNA from 1 species
GGAUGUGAGGGUGAUCUGGCUGCGACAUCUGUCACCCCAUUAAUCGCCAGUGUUAAUUUGGCUGAUCUGGCUGGCUAGGCGGGUGUCCCCUUCCUCCCUCACCGCUCCAUGUGUGUCCCUCCCGAAGCUGCACACUCGUUCGAAGAGGACAGCCUUCCCCAAAUAGAGACAGACCAGUCUUCAGUCGAGGGUAUACGAGUAGUUACGUUCCCCUGCUAGAACAUCCAAACAAGCUCUCAAGACUCUAGCCCCAAACCAGCCAUUUGUGAGAGAAAAUACUUACAAAUUAUACGUCUCCUGGACAGACAACCCCA